rnacentral:rRNA from 1 species
CCCUUAGAUGUCCUGGGCCGCACGCGCGUUACACUGAUGCAUUCAACGAGCUUAUAACCUUGGCCUAGAGGCCUGGGCAAUCUUGUUAACGUGCAUCGUGAUAGGGAUAGGUUAUUGAAAUUAUUAAUCUUGAACGAGGAAUUCCUAGUAAACGCAGAUCACCAAUCUGCAUUGAUUACGUCCCUGCCCUUUGUACACACCGCCCGUCGCACCUACCGAUUGGAUGGUCCGGUGAAGCCUCGGGAUUGUGGUUCUUGCCGCUUUAUUGUGGCGUGACCGCGAGAACUUGUCUAAACCUUAUCAUCUAGAGGAAGGUGAAGUCGUAACA